UCGUCAGGUAGGAUAAUCCUUACCUGUUCCUCCUUCGGGAGGGCAGAAUGGAAAAUGAUGAUUGGAGCUCGCAUGAUUCGUGAUUAACGGCUCUGCGUAAUCAGGACUUGCAACACCCUGAUUGCUCCUAUCUGAU
ensembl:snoRNA U8 U8 small nucleolar RNA